rnacentral:tRNA from 1 species
GGUUCUGUAGCUCAGUUGUGGUAAGAGCGGUCGGCUGAAACCCGACAGGUCAGGAGUUCAACUCUCCUCGGGACCAC